AACGAACGCUGGCGGCGUGCCUAACACAUGCAAGUCGAACGAGAAAGGGGCUUCGGCUCCGAGUAAAGUGGCGCACGGGUGAGUAACACGUGGUUAACCUGCCUCUAAUAUUGGGAUAACUCGCCGAAAGAUGAGCUAAUACCGAAUAAGACCACAGUUCCCGCGGGAACAGGGGUCAAAGGUAGCCUCUGCUUGCAAGCUAUCACUUAGAGAUGGGCCUGCGGACCAUUAGCUAGUUGGUAGGGUAACGGCCUACCAAGGCAAGGAUGGUUAGCUGGUCUGAGAGGCGGAUCAGCCAAACUGGGACUGAGACAAGGUCCAGACUCCUAGGGGAGGCAGCAGGGGGGAAUAUUGCGCAAGGGGCGGAAGCUUGACGCAGCAACGCCGCGUGAGUGAUGAAGGCCAUCGGGUCGUAAAGAUCUGUCGGGAGGAAAGAAUGCUCAUGAGGUUAACAGCCUCGGGAGGUGACGGUACCUUCAAAGGAAGCACCGGCUAACUCUGUG
rnacentral:rRNA from 1 species